rnacentral:rRNA from 1 species
CCCUUAGAUGUUCUGGGCUGCACGCGCGCUACACUGACAUACUCAGCAAGUUUCCUUGCCUGAAAGGGUUGGGUAAUCUUGUUAGUGUAUGUCGUGAUGGGGAUAGAAUAUUGUAAUUAUUGCUCUUUAACGAGGAAUUCCUAGUAAGCGCAAGUCAUCAGCUUGCGUUGAUUACGUCCCUGCCCUUUGUACACACCGCCCGUCGCUCCUACCGAUUGGGUGAUCCGGUGAAUGAUUCGGACUCUGGCUAUGCUAGCUACUAGCUACGUCAGGGAAAGUUUUGUGAACCUUAUCACUUGGAGGAAGGAGAAGCCGUAACA